rfam:Ovis aries breed Texel chromosome 6, whole genome shotgun sequence.
UCCCUGGUAGCUCAGUUGGUACAGGAUCUGCCUGCAAUGCAGGAGACCUGGGUUCAAUCCCUGGGUUGGGAA